GCCUUCGUGGUAUAGUGGUCAGCACGCUCGGCGCGUAUUCAAGAGGUGCGGGGUUCGAGUCCCGGCGAGGGCA
rnacentral:tRNA from 1 species